UAGGGAAUCUUCCGCAAUGGGCGAAAGCCUGACGGAGCAACGCCGCGUGAGUGAUGAAGGUCUUCGGAUCGUAAAACUCUGUUAUUAGGGAAGAACAAAUGUGUAAGUAACUAUGCACAUCUUGACGGUACCUAAUCAGAAAGCCACGGCUAACUACGUGCCAGCAGCCGCGGUAAUACGUAGGUGGCAAGCGUUAUCCGGAAUUAUUGGGCGUAAAGCGAGCGCAGGCGGUCAAUUAAGUCUGAUGUGAAAGCCCCCGGCUCAACCGGGGAGGGUCAUUGGAAACUGGUUGACUUGAGUGCAGAAGAGGAGAGUGGAAUUCCAUGUGUAGCGGUGAAAUGCGUAGAUAUAUGGAGGAACACCAGUGGCGAAGGCGACUCUCUGGUCUGUAACUGACGCUGAGGCUCGAAAGCGUGGGUAGCAAACAGG
rnacentral:rRNA from 1 species